rnacentral:rRNA from 1 species
GAAUCAUUCACAAUGGGCGAAAGCCUGAUGGUGCGACGCCGCGUGAGGGACGAAGGCCUUCGGGUCGUAAACCUCUGUCACCGGGGAAGAAACGCUGCAUUUUAACAGAAUGCAGCCUGACUUAACCCGGCGAGGAAGCCGGGGCUAACUCUGUGCCAGCAGCCGCGGUAAUACAGAGACUGCAAGCGUUAUUCGGAUUCACUGGGCGUAAAGGGUGCGCAGGCGGUCGUGUGUGUCAGGUGUGAAAGCCCGAGGCUCAACCUCGGAAUUGCGCCUGAAACUACACGGCUAGAGUACUGGAGAGGGUAACGGAAUUCACGGUGUAGCAGUGAAAUGCGUAGAUAUCGUGAGGAACACCAGAGGCGAAGGCGGUUACCUGGACAGUUACUGACGCUCAGGCACGAAAGCGUGGGGAGCAAAAGGG